GACGCUGGAUACAUAUGGUCGAA
rnacentral:siRNA from 1 species